AUUUGUUUCUUGACAUGCAAAGAGGCUUCUAGUUCGCACAAAUUUCUGGCGAAACCACCAAAUGAAUGCUUGCAAGACCUUAGCCAGGCAAAUAUAUAUGGAAAGAGCAACCUUCGGAGCCAGUGGUCCUUCCUGUUCUCGUCCUCCUUGUGCCGCGCAUUCACCCCAUGGACCAUUUGAAGCAUCCUUUUGUAGCAGCUUGUAGCAGCCGGCCGAAAUGCCCCUUCUAAGGAAAUCAGCGCGGUUGGUUGCCAAGUUGAAUGCCACUCUAUUUGUCUCGAAAACGGUCAAAGUUCCGAGACAUGCGAGCAUCUUGAUGCCAGACGACUGACU